rfam:Nasonia vitripennis chromosome 1, whole genome shotgun sequence.
GUAGACGUUAGCUCAGUGGUUAGAGCACAGGCCUCUGGCUCACGGUUCCGCGAGUUCGAGUCCCGUCGUCUACU